rnacentral:lncRNA from 1 species
CAGGACCCUCUGGACAUAUUAUCUAUUACUGCAAGAACAAGACCUAGAAACAAAGCAUUAAUUCUGACUGGGGUGAUAUUAACUAAACCAGCAACCACAGCAGCAGAUAUUUUCCAACUUGUCCCUGGAUGAACGUUGUCUUUCCGCAUCGUUGGUUUGCAAGUACUGGCGUGACCUUUGUUUAGAUUUCCAGUUUUGGAAGCAGCUGGACCUUAGUAGUCGUCAGCAGGUUACUGAUGAAUUAUUGGAAAAAAUUGCCUCCAGAAGUCAGAAUAUAGUUGAGAUCAACAUUUCUGAUUGUCGCAGUAUGUCUGACAGUGGAGUGUGUGUUCUAGCAUUUAAGUGUCCUGGACUUCUUAGGUACACAGCCUACAGGUGUAAGCAGCUUUCUGACACCUCUAUCAUUGCGGUCGCCUCUCACUGUCCUUUACUGCAGAAAGUCCACGUAGGCAACCAGGACAAACUCACUGAUGAAGGACUCAAGCAGGUAAAUCCACGGCGUUUACUGAGAGGGUUCACACACUGAGGGCUCACACACUGAUUGAACAGCUGUUGCAGCCACACUUUGAAUUUGCAUUAAAAUGAAUUACUAGAGACUAAAGUAAGUUACAUUUUCUAUGUAAAAUGAAUAUUUGAGUAGGCCAGUGAGCUGCUGUGCUGUGGUGAUGAUCAGAUACAUUAAUUUUGCUGUGUUUUCCAGUGAGUGCCUAAUCUCUGUGGCCAGCCAUUUUAUUAGCUCUCGAUUUUGUUAGCUCCUGUUUAAAAUUAAAUUUUUCUUUUAUUUAUUCAGUUUUUACGUUGGUCUAUGCCAUACUUGGACUUUAAGUAACAGUAUUCAGUUUAGGUCAGAAUAAGGUUUUAAAAGUUAUUUUAAAAGCUUAAUUUCCCUUUUAUGUUAUCAGAUGGCAUAAUUUAAACAUGGUUUUCAGAUAUAAAUGGAAGUUCAAAUUGAAGAGCAUAAAAUAAGAAGAAAUGGUAAUGGCCUAUAUUUGGCUUAGUAAUUGGAAUUACAUCAGUUCAGUAACACCAUCCCUGGUGACACUUGUCCUUUGGAAUAGCAUUUACCAUCUGACAGACUGGCUCACUCAUUUCUGAAGGGAGGUCCUUCAGUUGAGUCAUUGUUGAUGGACAUAUUGAAAGUUGAGUAUGAGGAGAACUUUGGGGAGACUGUCGAGUAGACUCUACUGAGUGUGGCCAUAUCAUAUCAAGGAUGCCACCAACUUAGAGGGGAGCCCAUGCCCGGCAUGGUGUGAAGUGAAUAUUUUAAUAUUUCUUGACUAGUUUUUUCUUUUAUAAAG